CUGUUCCUGCACAUAUACCAUUUCUGGCAUGUAGUACCUUUCCAUUUCGGGCAAGUCCUUUUCUGGACGUUUCCAAUUAUGGAAAAUGCCAUUUCUGUCAAUUACCAUUUUAGGCAGGUUUUAACUUAAUGCACUUGUGAAUAUUGUUCUACAGCAACCCUAACAUAUUAUAUAUGUUUUUGGGGUAGAAAAAUCCCACCAAUCCAGUGGUGGCAUUAGUUUAUGCAUUUGAGCAAGUUCAUGAACAAGUCAUUUUACAUCAUGAUGUUGUCUUGUCAUUUUUGUGUGGUUUAUCCCAAGCAUGCUAUGAGGUUGUUUUGCACAAGGAUAGCUUCUUUUUCAUGCCUACUCCAUGCUAGUACUUGUUCCAUGCCAUGAUAUGCCUGGUAGUGAGUUAAUCAAGCUUGUAAACAUGCCAUGUUGAAUCUGUUUUUGCCAUGUCCUGAAAUUUCACUAAGUCUGAAACUGUUAAUAAAACUUGCUAUGUUUACAUGGGUGCCAUCAUUCCUUAUGGUCCUUUUUGGCUUAUGGUCAGUAAGGGACUUUUGAUCUAUGCUUUGAGUAGAAUCAUGUCAUGCCUUGUUUUGCUAUUAUAAGUUCCUGUAGCUUGUUGUUUGCUUGCUCUAAACAUGCCUUCCUGAUGUUAAUUUCUGGCAUACUAGUAUUUUCACCAAGUCUGUGAACCUGAUAUUUUUUGCACUUUCACCAUGCUUGUUUGAACCUGUUAUAAUGUGAUUUAGCCGUAGCUCAGUGUUCCUCUUUUGUUAAACAUCUCCUGUAGGUCACUGUCAUAUGCCUUGUUUGCAUGUUGGGGUGCUGUAGCAUAGUUUCUUGUUGCAUGCUAAGUAGCAUCGUGCUGUGAAACGCAGAUUCGCGGCAUUCUUGUUUUGCUUGUCAUUUGCAAACCGUGCAUCCGGUUCCGGUGAUCUUUAUAUUGAUUCCAACCGAAAUCAUCCCAUCUUUCCAGCGGCAUACUUGGUUUGCCAAGUUGAUGCCCGGUUCAUCAUUUUCCUCCCGGAGCACACGUAUGCAUUGCAUAUCACAUCUCGCAUAGCAUGUCAUGUAUUGCAUCUUAUUGCUUGUGCAUUGUUCCUUGUUUGAUUGUGGUUCCCUUGCUUGUGUUCUUGCUUUGGGUAGAGCCGGGAGACGAGUACGUGAACGAGGAACCUGUUGAGAACGCCUACGAGGAUCAAGCCUUCGACAACUCUGAGAACCUUGCAGGCAAGAUGACCAUACCUUCGAUAUCACUUCUAUCUUUGCUUGCUAGAUGCUCGCUCUUUUGCUAUGCCUAUGCUGCGAUACCUACCACUUGCUAUAUCAUGUCACCCAUAUUGCCAUGUCAACCUCUAACCAUCCUUUCCUAGCAAACCGUUGAUUGGCUAUGUUACCGCUUUGCUCAGCCCCUCUUAUAGCGUUGCUAGUUGCAGGUGAAGAUGAAGUUUGUUCCUUGUUGGAACACGGAUAUUUUGGGAUAUCACAAUAUCUAUUGUUUUAAUUAAUGCAUCUAUAUACUUGGUAAAGGGUGGAAGGCUCGGCCUUAUUCCUGGUGUUUUGUUCCACUCUUGCCACCCUAGUUUCCGUCAUACCGGUGUUAUGUUCCUUGAUUUUGCGUUCCUUACGCGGUCGGGUGAUUUAUGGGACCCCCUUGACAGUUCGCUUUGAAUAAAACUCCUCCAGCAAGGCCCAACUUUGGUUUUACCAUUUGCCACCUAAGCCUUUUUCCCUUGGGUUUUCGCGAGCCCAAGGGUCAUCUUUAUUACCCCCCCGGGCCAAUGCUCCUCUGAGUGUUGGACCAAACUAGAGCCACUUGCGGUGCCGCCCUGAGGCAACUUGGGGUAUCCUCGGUUGCCGUACGUAGUGUUCAUCCGGAUGUGCCCUGAGAACGAGAUAUGUGCAGCUCCUAUCGGGAUUUGUCGGCACAAUCGGGCGGCUUUGCUGGUCUUGUUUUACCAUUGUCGAAAUGUCAUGCGAACCAGGAUUCCGAGACUGAUCGGGUCUUCCCGGGAGAAGGUCUAUUCCUUCGUUGACCUUGAGAGCUUGUGAUGGGCUAAGUUGGGACACCCCUGCAGGGUAUUAUCUUUCGAAAGCCGUGCCCGCGGUUAUGAGGCAGAUGGGAAUUUGUUAAUGUCUGGUUGUAGAAAACCCGAAGUUGACCUUAAUUAAAAUACAUCAACCGCGUGUGUAACCGUGAUGGUCCCUUCUCGGCGGAGUCCGGGAAGUGAACACGGUGUUGGAGUUAUGUUUGACGCAGGUUGCUCUAGGAUCACUUCUUGAUCGCUACUAGCUUCACGACCGUGCCUUGCUUCUCUUCUCGCUCUCUUUUGCGAUCGUAGCCACCAUAUAUGCUAGUCGCUUGCUGCAGCUCCACCUCAUUACACCAGCCUUCCCUUAAGCUUAAAUAGUCUUGAUCUCGCGGGUGUGAGAUUGCUGAGUCCCCGUGACUCACAGAUUCUACCAAAACAGAUGCAGGUACCGAUGAUACCAGCGCAGAUGGCGCAACUGAGCUGAAGUGGGAAUUUGAUGAGGCCCUUGGUCGUUACUAUGUUUCAUUUCCAGACGAUCAGUAGCGGAGUCCAGUUGGGACGACCGGGGAUCUGUGUUGGCAUUUGGGGUAGUCUUCUUUUAUUUUGGUUCCGUAGUCGGACCUUGAGUGUAAACUGAAUGAUGGAUGUUUAUUUAUGUAUUGUGUGAAGUGGCGACUGUAAGCCAACUAUGUAUCUCUUUCCCUUAUGUAAUACAUGGGUUGUGUGAAGAUUACCUCUCUUGCGACAUUGCUUUCAAUGCGGUUAUGCCUGUAAGUCGUGCUUCGACACGUGGGAGAUAUAGCCGCAUCGAGGGCGUUACAAGUUGGUAAUCAGAGCCUUCCCCGACCUUAGGAGCCCCACUGCUUGAUCGUUUUUAGCGGCCGAGUUGUGUCUAGAAAAAAUGUUUUGAGUCAUUUAGGAUUAUAUAUAUCGGAGAGUUAGGAAUUCUUUUACUCCUCAGUCCCUUCGUCGCUCUGGUGAGGUCUCCUGACGUAGAAGUUUUGACUUUUCUCUUCUCAAAUUUCACUAAUUUUUUUUAGGAUCACGCGGGUAUCUUGGAAUUGUUCCGAUGGUUUUAUGAUGAGAACAUUGUCUUGGUGCCUCCUGUCAGGGGUUUAGUGGAAGUGUCCCGGGGAGUUGAGCUCUGAGGUGUUGUCGUCAUAAUUUUAUCGUUGCAGUUCUGGAAUACCUGAGUUUAGUACGCCGACAUCGAAAAUCUCUUUUAUGCAAUUGUUGGUGAGAUAACCCCGAUAACCCAGUACUGAGGUGAGUACGGGAGUAUUGCCAUGACUCGUAUAACGGAUGCUUUUCGAAGGUUGAGGUACACGAUUUCCGAAGGUUUCUUGGUUAUGUGUUGACGGAUGGAUACAGCUGGAUGUAGGGAUUGUUAGUUUGGGUGAGAUAUAUUGCUUCCCCUGUAUCCCCAACACCUGAUUGCAUAACCGGAAAGUUUCGGGAGUUUAUAGGUGGGAUUCAAGUAGCUCUAGCACUUCUUCCCACAGAUAUUUGGUUUGUGAUUGGGUAAUCCUUACCACUUAUCUGUUCCAUUCAUACCUUUGUUUUUAUUUUCAUUCAUCAAUCUCUUAUCAAGUGGCUUCUCACCUUAAUGGACGUGAUGUUUACUUUGGAAUUCAUUCGUUCAUCCAUGUUCGAAUGUUUAUUGUGAAGACUAUAUGUUGCAAUUUCUAUCCGUUGAUUCAACUUGUCUAUCUGUCUAUCAAGAUGGUAAUGGAUGUCACCCUCUUCAGGAUGGCUCCGCCAACGCGUCAGAAUCCGGAACGCAGUGAUGGGAGUCAGGCGAACCCUCCACCUCCACCUCCUCCUCUAGAGGCAUGGCAAACUUUGAUGGCAACCACUAACGCCAACGCUCAGUUGUUGAUUCAGCUGAUGCAAGAGCGUAACCAAGGCCAAGGCAACCAAGGGAAUCAAGGUCAAGGGCAGUUCUACCAUCAGUCUCAGUUCCCUACCCUCAACCAGUUCCUUGCAAAUCAGCCAAAGUCUUUCAGCUACUGUGUCGAGGCCACAAACGCCGACGAUUGGCUCGUGGAUAUCAACAAGCAUUUCGAAUGCAACAAUGUCAGACCUGAGGACUACGUCAAGUUCGCGUCUUUUCAGCUCAAGGAUCAAGCAGCUGAUUGGUUCCAGCAAUACAAGGAUUCCAGAGGAGGUCGAGUGAUUACUUGGACUGAUUUCUGUCGGGACUUUAAAGCUCACCACAUUCCUACCAGUGUUGUUGAGAGCAAGCGUGAGGAGUUCCGCAAUCUCAAGCAAGGCAACAUGUCAGUGUACGAAUACAACAAACAGUUUCAGAAACUUGCUCGCUUCGCUAAACAAGAUGUUCCUGAUGAAAAGAAUAUGAUCUACCAAUUCAGAGGUGGCCUUAGAGAGGAUCUGCAGUUAGCUCUCGUUCUUGUUGAGCCUACUCAGUUUGAUCAAUUCUACAAUAUGGCACUCAAGCAAGAAGGUGCUCAGCUCAAGUGUGAGGCUUCAAAGAAGAGAAUCAGGGAUGCAGUUCAGUCUUCUUCUUCCUCUCAAGGUGCAGCUAAGCAGCAAAAGUUCUACCUUCCUCCUCCUCCGUUCCGUCAGCCUUAUCAACAGAAGAACUCAGGUGGUCGUGAAUCUUCCCACCCACCCAACCCAAGCUACCAGAACAAGUCUCAGCCUCAAGCUCCAAGGUCAAAUGCUCCUUAUCACCGUCCUCUCUCAGAGGUGACCUGCAACAAGUGUCAACAAAAAGGUCACUAUGCGAACAAAUGCUUCAACCAAAGGCGCCUUCCGCCUCCUCCUCCUGUGAGAUCUUCAAGCAAUGCAGUGGUCAAGCAUAAUCCGAAGCAUGCAAAGGUGAACAUGAUGAAUGCAGCUCAGGCAGAGGAUUCUUCAGAUGUGAUAAUGGGUAAUCUCUCAGUUAAUGAUAUUCCUGCAAAAGUCUUAUUUGAUACUGGUGCAUCGCUUUCUUUCAUUUCAAGACCUUUUGUUGCCAAGCAUGAGUUUGUGACGGAAAAGAUUCCUGUCCCGUUGAAGAUUGUGUCCCCGGGUAAGCAAAUGACAUCUAAUAAUUGUGUCCCAGAUGUUUCUAUCAAGAUGGGCGACUAUAGAUUUCUGUCUUCUCCAAUUGUCCUUGGUGACUCGGAUAUUAAUCUAAUUCUUGGUAUGGACUGGCUUUCUAAGCACAAAGCUCAACUUGAUUGUGCUGCCAGGCAGAUUCAAUUGACACACUCUUCUGAGGAUGUUAUCAUCUAUGCCGCUCGUGACGAAACCAUUCAGUUGUUUUCUCUCAAUGAGAAGGGCGAGUUGGAUGCUAUCUCUCAGAUUCCAGUCGUUUGUGAGUACCAAGGUGUCUUUCCAGAAGAGCUUCCGGGUAUGCCUCCUCAUCGGCCAGUCGAAUUCGUUAUCGAUCUUGAGCCUGGUACUGAACCCAUUUGCAAGCGUCCUUACAAGCUUGGACCCAAGGAGCUGAAAGAAUUGAAGAAGCAGCUCGAUGAACAAGAGCGUCUGGGUUUGAUCAGACCGAGUUCAUCUCCAUGGGGAUGUGGAGUUCUUUUUGUCCAGAAGAAGGAUGGCACGGACCGACUUUGCGUCGAUUACCGUCCAUUGAACAAGAAGACAAUCAAGAACAAGUAUCCACUUCCCAACAUCAGUGAGCUAUUCGAGCAGCUCAAAGGUGCUAAAGUAUUCUCCAAGCUUGACCUCCGUAUGGGUUAUCAUCAGAUUCGCAUUCGUGAACAAGAUAUUCCCAAGACAGCAUUCAGAACAAGCUUUGGUUCUUAUGAAUAUACUGUCAUGUCUUUCGGCCUUAUCAAUGCUCCUCCAACAUUCUCUCGAAUGAUGAACUUCAUCUUCAACCCCUACACCAAUGAUUUCGUCUUGGUGUAUCUCGAUGAUAUUUUGGUCUUCUCCAAGAACAAGCAGGAUCAUGCCAAACAUUUGCGAUUGGUGCUCGACAAGCUCAGAGAGCAUCAAUUCUAUGCGAAGUUUCCAAAUGUGAGUUCUGGCUUGAUGAAGUUCUUUAUCUUGGUCAUAUCAUCUCCGCCAAGGGCAUCGCUGUUAAUCCGGCGAAGGUUUCUGCGGUUCUGAAUUGGGAACCUCCUCAGAAUGUCAAGCAGCUCCGCAGUUUUCUUGGUCUUGCAAGCUAUUGCCGAAGAUUUGUUGAGAAUUUCUCUAAGAUUGCAAAGCCUCUUUCCAACCUCCUCCAGAAGCAUGUCAAGUAUGUCUGGACGCCUGAGUGUGAUGUCGCUUUCAACACCCUCAAAGAAAAGCUAGUCACAGCUCCUGUCUUAACUCCUCCUGAUGAAUCCAAGCCAUUCGAAGUAUUCUGUGAUGCUUCCCUUCAAGGUCUCGGUGCUGUGUUAAUGCAAGAGAAGAAAGUUGUGGCCUAUACCUCUCGUCAGUUGAAGCCCAACGAAAAAAACUACCCCACUCACGAUCUUGAGUUGGCGGCAGUUGUCCAUGCAUUGAUAACAUGGAGACAUCUCUUGUUGGGAAGGAAAGUGGACAUUUUCACCGAUCACAAGAGUCUAAAGUAUAUCUUCACUCAACCAAACCUCAACCUCAGGCAAACUCGAUGGGUCAAAAUGAUUCAAGAGUACAAUCCAAGUAUUGAAUAUACUCCUGGCAAGGCGAAUGUGAUUGCAGAUGCUUUGAGUAGAAAGGCUUAUUGCAACAGCUUAAUUCUCAAGCCCUUCCAACCGGGUCUUUGUGAAGCUUUCCGCAAGCUGAAUCUUCAAGUUGUUCCUCAAGGAUUUCUUGCCAACCUCAUAGUCUCUCCUUCUUUGGAAGAUCAAAUUCGUGAGGCACAACUCCUGGAUACCAUGGUGAAGAAAGUGAAACGUUGUAUUGACAAGGGCAUUCCCAAAUACAAGUGCUAUCGCUUGGAUGACAAAGAUACUCUUUUCUUCGAGGAUCGUAUUGUGGUUCCUAAAGGCGAUCUGAGAAAAGUCAUCAUGAAUGAGGCACACAAUUCUCUUCUAUCCAUUCAUCCUGGAAGUACAAAGAUGUACCAUGACCUCAAGCAGUCGUAUUGGUGGACUCGAAUGAAGCGAGAAAUUGCUCAAUUCGUGAAUGAAUGUGAUGUCUGCAGAAGGGUGAAAGCAGAACACCAACGACCAGCUGGUCUCCUCCAACCUCUUGCUAUUCCAGAAUGGAAGUUUGAGCACAUCGAGAUGGACUUCGUGACUGGAUUUCCUAAGUCCAAGCGUGGAAAUGAUGCUAUCUUCAUUGUCAUUGACAAGCUUACUAAAGUGGCUCAUUUUCUUCCUAUCAAAGAAUCUAUCACAGCAGCUCAGCUGGCAGAGCUAUACACCUCCAGAAUUGUCUCCUUGCACGGUAUUCCACAAUUGAUCUCUUCAGACCGUGGAAGCAUUUUCACUUCUAAGUUCUGGGACUCCUUUCAGAAGGCCAUGGGCACCAACAUUCGUUUCAGCACAGCUUUCCAUCCUCAAACUAGUGGCCAAGUCGAGCAAGUCAAUCAAAUCCUUGAAGAUAUGCUCAGGGCUUGUGUCAUUUCCUUUGGCAUGAAGUGGGAAGAUUGUCUUCCAUAUGCCGAGUUCUCCUACAACAACAGCUUCCAAGCGAGUUCGGGCAAGGCCCCAUUCGAAAUUCUCUAUGGCAGGAAGUGCCGUACUCCUCUCAAUUGGUCCGAGACAGGUGAACGCCAACUUCUUGGCAACGACUUGAUCACAGAAGCCGAAGAAAUGUGCAAAGUCAUUCGUGAGAAUCUCAAAGCCGCGCAAUCGCGCCAGAAGGGCUAUUAUGAUGACAAGCACCGUGAUGUGGCUUUUGAAAUCGGAGACCAUGUCUACCUCCGCGUCUCUCCAAUGAAAGGCACUCGUCGCUUCGGUAUCAAAGGGAAGCUUGCCCCUAGAUACGUGGGUCCUUUCAAGAUCAUUGGCAAAUGAGGCGAUCUCGCCUAUCAACUUGAGCUUCCAUCCAACUUUGCAAACGUGCACGAUGUGUUUCACGUGUCACAGCUCCGCAAGUGCUUCAAGAUUCCUGAGCGCACUAUCAACUUUGAAGAAAUUGACCUCCAAGAAGAUCUCUCUUAUCAUGAGCACCCCGUUGCUAUUCUUGAAGAAACCAAGCGCAAGACUCGCAACAAGUCAAUCAAAUUCCUGAAAGUGAAGUGGUCACACCAUUCCGACCGAGAAGCCACCUGGGAGCGCGAGGAUCACCUUCAUUCCGAAUAUCCGGAGUUCUUUCAGUCCUAGAUCUCGGGACGAGAUCCUCUUGUAGUGGAGGAGAGUUGUAACACCCCAGAUGUAACAUGUCCAUUUUUGGCAAUAUAUCAACUUGACCUUCAUCCAUUUCUUGUGGGGUUUAUCAUGUUUGGCCUCAUCUUGUUUUGGUUAUGUGUGGUUUUGUUCUUUUCUUUGUAAUUUUCCUUUUUAACCAUUUUGCAUUUGUGCUUCUUGUCAUUUUGCAUUCAUCCUCAUCAUAUAGUGCAUCUUCAUCUCAUGCCAUCUCAUGUUGCAUGUUGUCAUUCAUGUUGUUGCCAUGAGCAUCAUGGGCAUGACCUUGUCCCCCCCUUUCAACCAUGGCACCAUCAUUACUCCUCCUUCCUUCUCUUAUCAAGUGCUAUUUUUCUUUCUCUAUUAAUGUUCAUCUUCUCCCUGUAAAUCUUGCUCCUUGCCCUAAACCUCUCUGCCAAAGAUAUCCUUAUUUGAAGUUGUUUUGGUCAGGUUCAAAAAUGACACAAGUUUGAAAAUAUUUCAAACUUGUCUUAUUUUUCUACCUCUAAAAAUGCCCAAUGCAAUUUAUUAAAAUAGUGGAUAAUUCCAGGAGUUGGAGAGUAUUUUAUUUAUGCUCUAUCUCCUCUCCCUUUUUCCUGAGAUUUUCUGUUUCUAUUUAUGUUUAUUUAAAUAGAAAUGAAGCAACAGCAGCCGCAGCAGCCCCCCUGGGCCUCGGCCUCCUAGGCCGGCCCAGCUAGCGCCCCGCACAGCCAGCCAGCCCAGCCAGAGCGCCAGCCAGCCCGCUCGCGCCCUCAUCUUUUCUCACCCACGCGAGUGUGCACCCCCGCUAGACCCUCGACACGUGGAUAGGUCGGCCCCGCUCAUCAGCGCCUCCCCUGUUUCCCGCACCCACCUUUUCCCUCUCCUCUCGCCGUCGCCAUGGGGACCGCGAGCACGAGCGCGCGUGAGCUCGUCCGCUCGCCCUAGCCCUUUUAAGCCCCAGCUCCCGUGUCCCUUGCGUCGCCUAGGGUUUCCCUCGUCCGCCGCCGCCGUUUCCAGGUGAGUUUAGCCACCAGAUCUGCCGCUUCCGCCCCGUCCCGAGCGCACCUGGGAGCGCGCCUCGUCGCCGGCGUGCUCUCCGGCCACUCCAAACCCCGCAGUUCGUGUCCAUCUUCUUCCUCGCCGUCGUCUCCUUCCACGACGUCGAGUAUGGUGCCCGGACGACGAGUUCAUCGACGUCCCUUGCUUCCUUCUACCUCUCGGUCAGAAAACGCGCCACGAUUCAGCCACCACGUCGCCGGCAGCUCGUCUUCAUCGACUACUCCGUGUCCUUGGGUGACCUGGGUAAUGCACCUCCCUCUCCCAUCCUUUCCCUGGCAUUUAGGCAACCGUAGGGCGCGUCCGAUCCGUGUCUUUCCCGCGCUCGCAGUGCUCCGGCGUUUCUGAAUUUGUUGGUGCAGUGCGGUGCAACCCCAGCGUGUUUUGCGUGUCCCCGCUCCGGUUCCCCCUCUUCGUGCUCCCGUAGCGCGCUCGCGCACUCGCUUACGCCUUCGCGCGCACCCUGCAAGCCUCCCGCAGCUCCGGCGAGUCCCUCUGCCGCUCGCCACGGACACCAUGGCCCCGAGUCGAGCAACUGCUCGAGCUCGAGCGCCCCUGCUUUCCCUCGUAGUUGCGCGCGUCUUAUUUUCCCUUUCCGCACGGCCGCCGGAGGCCCUGUGCCCACUGGUUGCCGCCAUUGCCCUCGCCGGCGCCGUCGUCCUCUCCUUUUGCAACGCAGUUGCACGACCUGGCGCCUUUCUAAAGGGGCCGAAGCCCUUCCCCUGUCAGCAGCGCCCGCCUAGCCCAGUUGUUGCAGUAGCAGAGCCACACCGGGGAGACCCGGGUUCGAUCCCUCGCGGCUGCAUAUUAACCCCCCUUUUUUAAUCCAUUUCUUGCACUGUGCGUAUGACAGGGUGGCCCCACCUGCCAUACACUCUUAGCAUGUCUGUUUUCUUUAUUUUUAUUUAUUUUAUUUGUCUAUUUUUAUUUUUAUUAAGUGUUUUAUUUCUGUUCCUGCACAUAUACCAUUUCUGGCAUGUAGUACCUUUCCAUUUCGCGCAAGUCCUUUUCUGGACGUUUCCAAUUAUGGAAAAUGCCAUUUCUGUCAAUUACCAUUUUAGGCAGGUUUUAACUUAAUGCACUUGUGAAUAUUUUUCUACAGCAACCCUAACAUAUUAUAUAUGUUUUUGGGGUAGAAAAAUCCCACCAAUCCAGUGGUGGCAUUAGUUUCUGCAUUUGAGCAAGUUCAUGAACAAG
rnacentral:lncRNA from 1 species